rnacentral:rRNA from 1 species
UGAGGAAUUUUCCGCAAUGGGCGAAAGCCUGACGGAGCAAUACCGCGUGAGGGAUGACGGCCUUUGGGUUGUAAACCUCUUUUUCAAGGAGGAAGUUCUGACGUGUACUUGAAGAAUAAGCAUCGGCUAACUCCGUGCCAGCAGCCGCGGUAAGACGGAGGAUGCAAGUGUUAUCCGGAAUUAUUGGGCGUAAAGCGUCUGUAGGUUGCCUACCAAGUCUAUUGUUAAAGGUUAGAGCUCAACUCUAAAACUGCAGUAGAAACUGUUAGGCUUGAGUACAGUCGAAGUAGAGGGAAUUUCCAGUGAAGCGGUGAAAUGCGUAGAUAUUGGAAGGAACACCAAUGGCGAAA